CACCACGGGAGGAAGAGAUCACAACACUGCAAAUACAAAAUACCACGAACGAACACCUCCUAUUGCAAACAAAGAUUGAGAUUUAGAGAGAACGUGGGUACGCAACUCUAAAAUACCGUGAAAUAUUUUAUCACAUUAUUUCAAUAUCGUUAUGGAAGUUAUCACCACUUCUCUCCGUAAACAUCUCGAUUCGUGGAGCCCAGUUAAAAGAUGGCGAAAAUGAAUUGGAUGGGUCACUACAGGCUUGAGACUCACCCAGAUGCCAUUUGUAAGGAACUGUCAGCGAGGACGCGAAUCAUUGCUGUACAAACCCACUCUGCGCUGAAUUUAAAGUCUGCUGUGUAAGUACUUCCGGGACGUACGGCACUACAACUGAAACGUUAGUGGGACACAAAUGAGUUGCGGCGGGUGUGUGGAGAGAACGCGAGCCAGGAAGGAACUGAUAUAUUCGGGCAUUGGCUAAACUCGAAACACUACAAGUAUAGUGUCUCUCACCCAUCCUUCUCUAACCAAAAAAAAGUCUGUGUGGAGGGUCGGUAAGGUCAGUUACCUAUUAGUAGGUCCCAACAUGCGAGGACUGAUGUGAUUCCACUGUGGCGUUUUUGCUAAAGGAAAGAUUACUGAAGUUGGAGUAGUUGGAUUUGUCUGAAGCAUGAAGUCGUCAUCAUCAUCGUCCUCUUGACUGCUUGGAAAGCUGGGAAGCUGUACAAUGUUGAAAGAAAUAUUGAAAUUCAA